AUGUCAUAAUGAGGACACUUUCGUAAUAACUCCUUGAACCGCUCUCAUGCCUUAUAUAAAGGUUCUUUGUCAAAUUGCUGAAAUGAAUUGAUUUCAUUUCAGAGCCU